AGUGCCAGAAAGGGGAAGUGACCAGUUGAGAUUACCCACCCUAUGGGUGAGUGAGCAGGAUAAUCACCCAGGCUCCUGACCCCUCUACCCAGUAGCCUGCACAGAACUUGUGUGACCCAACUCGGUGUAGCUGUCCAGGAUGGCUCCCUAGAGACCUGAACCUGGCACAAGGGAAUUGUACCCCAUGGAAGAGGUAACUGAGAAAACUAGAAAUUUAUCCAGAAUUUUGAAGAAAAAAAAUGAGAUUCAAGAAUUCUAUAUAUAAGCACUGACAAUUAAAAGUUUGGUACUACAAUGAGUUGGAGUGGAGAAACAAUACUCAGGAGAGAGUAAAAUGCUACCGCUGCUUACAAGAGCUGUUUGGCACCAUCUGGAGAAUCUGAAAUUGUGCAUACCAGUGACCCAGACAAUCCUCAUCUCACUAUGUUCCUGGAGAGACUCUUAUACAUAUUGUAAAGGUGAAAAGGAAUGAUAAAAUCAGCACUGGAGAAAAUGGAAACAGAUACGCUCCAAUGAAAUGAUCAGCAUUAAAAUCCCCUGUAACUAUUGGUAGGAAAAUAGUGCAUAUAUCAAAGAUGUUAUAAGAACAUGUAUCAUUCAACUCACCAAUUCUAUUUCCAGGAAUUUAUUCUAGAUGCAGCGGGGGCAUCUAGACUAUUCAGACUAGUCUAUUCAGACUAUUCUAACUAGGAUUUAUUGCAAGACAAUUUAGAAUAUCAAAAACUGGAGACAACUUAAAUGUCCUAAAAUUAGAAGCUGGCGUGAAUAGAUUAUGAUACAAAGAUAUAAAUCAAUAUAAAAUUAUGACAUAUAUAUUUAUUUUCCUGAAAAUGCUUUCAUGCUAUAGAAAGCCUAGAAUUCACAUUACAAAUAGUGUUCAUUUUUAUAAUACUUAUAUAUUCAUAUGAUUUUAUAUACAUACACACAUAUGUGCACACAUGCAUAUAUAUUUCCACAGAAAACAGUCUAAAAAGAAAAUAUAAGUAGAGACAGUUGUGUUAUUUCAGAUGGGUGAUUUUUAAAAGUUUUUUCAACAUAUGUACUAUGCUUAUAUAUUACUCGUGUAUGAAAAGGAAACAAAACUAGCACAAGGCUGGAAUGUGCUCUUCCUCUAAAUCUUGAGGGUCAAUAUUGGAGAGGAAAAGAAAAUUAUCAUUAUUUAAAGAUAUUACUAUCAGCUUAAGAAACCAAGGAGAAUCAAUUAGAAAAGUAUUAGAAAUAGAGUGAACAAUGGCUUAUUAAAAAACAGAUAUACAGAUUUCAUUAGCUUCCAUAAAUAACCAACUAGAGAACAUAAUAAAAAAUAUCACCAGUAGCAACCAAAUCCAUGACAUAUUUAGGAAUAAGUGUACUAAGCACAGUGGGGCCUAUGUGAAAACACACACACACACACACACCCAUACAUACAUGUACACGUCCUUCCCCACAUAUACCUUCUACACAUAUAGCUAUAUCCAGAAAGAACUUUAAAUGAGAUUUUAAUAAAAAGGUAGACAUAUUAUAUUCUUUUCUGUUUUAAAGAUUUUAUUUAUUUGAGAGAGAGAGAGAGCAGGAAGGAGCAAGGGGAGGGGCAGAAACAGAUUCUCUA